AACGACCGCUGGCGGCAGGCCUAACACAUGCAAGUCGAGCGAAGCCUUCGGGCUUAGCGGCGGACGGGUGAGUAACGCGUGGGAACGUGCCCUUUGGUACGGAAUAGCCCCGGGAAACUGGGAGUAAUACCGUAUGUGGUCGAGAGACGAAAGAUUUAUCGCCAAAGGAUCGGCCCGCGUUGGAUUAGGUAGUUGGUGGGGUAAUGGCCUACCAAGCUGACGAUCCAUAGCUGGUUUGAGAGGAUGAUCAGCCACACUGGGACUGAGACACGGCCCAGACUCCUACGGGAGGCAGCAGUGGGGAAUCUUAGACAAUGGGGGAAACCCUGAUCUAGCCAUGCCGCGUGAUCGAUGAAGGCCUUAGGGUUGUAAAGAUCUUUCAGUGGGGAAGAUAAUGACUGUACCCACAGAAGAAGCCCCGGCUAACUCCGUGCCAGCCGCCGCGGUAACAC
rnacentral:rRNA from 1 species